GGUGUACGAACACCAGGGGGUCCCUCCCCUCCUCCACCGUGUGCCUGUCAGGAUCUGGAAGGCCCACCUGGGCACGGGGGCCAAGGGCCGCUUCAGUCCCCACAGGGCCCCCAGGAAGAGCCAGCUGCCCCCCGAGAUAAAGCUCCAGACGGAGGAGCUGCACUGCCUCAGGGCCGAGCUGAGCCACAUCAAGGCCCAGGUGGACCGCCUGCUGCAGCGCCUGGAGCUCAUGGAACCGCGGAGGGACCAGCUUCCAGGGACAGAGGUUUGUGAACAGAACAGGGGCUCUGGGAGUCAGGGGUCCUUAUGCAGAACCACCGAACCGAGGCAGAAGCCCAGAGGCCCAAGGGCCCUUCCGGAGGCGGACGGCUCCCAGGAGCACACAGACCCGGAGCACACAGACCCGGAGGACGCGGUCAAGAAUCAGGCAUUAGACCAGGAGGGCUGUCAGUAGCAGGCUGGAACCCCUCCAGGCUCAGCAGCUCCAGGCACGGUCCUUUCCUUGAGUGUUUUCUCGAGGGUCUCUCAGUGGCACCCAAGCCACCCAUCCUGGAGCAAAGGCGAUGGAAAUGGAGGCAUGGCGCAGCCAGGCACCCUCCCCUAGUGCUGGUUUUAGCUUUGUCCAGAUGGCAGUCUAGGUACUGCAGGGAAGGGGGGCGGCCCGCAGCUGCCCAGCACCAGCGCACCGUCUCAGGCUGCAAGGGGAGCUGGACGCCCGCCUCCCGGAGCAGCAUCAGCUCUCUUCCCCUCUCGAAGCCCCCAGUCCCGUCUGGGUGUCCACAGGCUUACCGUUCUUGCCUUGCUUCUUGCUGCUGUGAUUCUAUGUAUUUCAGAUCUGCUUUGGAAAUACAUAUAAUGUCACUGGGGGCAAAUAAAGUUUGUAUCUUUCCCCCAGUCAGGGGUUCUUGGUGUGGUCCCCAGGCCUCAUUCUGGUCUCUCAGCUGCCUCAAGCCAGCCUUUCCUAGAGCUGAGCAGGCCCCUGAGACACAAGCUCAGGUCACACCAAGCUGGUGCAGGGAGGACCCCGGGCGGCCCUUUUGCCAAUUCAGACCUGAGCACAGACCUGUAGGGCUCAGGAGCCACACAGGGCGGAGCCCACCCUCAUGGUCAGAGAGACCCCUCUGCCCUACAGAAUCGCCAGACUCCCUCUCCAGUAUCCAGAAUCUCCCACUCCUGGCAGUUCAGGUGCCGUCUCGCUGGUGGACCAGCGACACCAGAACACAAAGAAAAUGCUUGUCCCAAGCCCUGAGAACACACCCCCCAGCUCGGAAGAGCCUUCCUCAUUAAAGUCGGUACCAAAAACAACAGAAGAAUGUUUCAGAUUAUAAGAGUUUUUGUUUGGGUUCAGAUGUAGGUGGAAGGCACAGCCCCCUUGUCCCCGCUCUCAAAAGCAGCCCAGUUAUUCAGGAGAGAGUCCCCGGCUGGCCUGCACAGGGCCCAUCCCUUGCAGGACAACAGCUCCAGUUUUCCCGACGAGUCCAGCCUAAGUCCUUCCCAACUUAGGAGUCAAGAUGCACUGGCAGGUUUCUUCAACUGGGUCGUGGCUGGGAGUCAAAUCAAUUAGAAAAGUUUCUUUAACGAAGCAGUCUGGAAAGAAUCGCUCCAACAUGGCUAUUCUGAGCACGCCUCGGCAGAUCCUCUCUGUGCUCUCAGUUCUCAGGUUGGCGCACGCCGUCUGCAGGCCGACGGCGCGGGUCCUUGUGGCGGCAGCGGUGGCUCGGUCCUCUGCGUCCAUCGUUGCUCGGGUCUCUGGCUCAGAGGGGCGCGGCUGCACCCCUCCGGCGGGCGGCCCGCACCAAGCACUGCUGGAGAACGGGGUAGAGGCGCUGGCAGCCCUCGAGCCCCAGGCGCACGGCCUCCGCCCAGCUCUCGGUCGGGCCGCCCUCCCCGCUGCCCAGCAGCCCGGCCACCUGGUUGAGCACCGGCAUGAGCGCCACGGUGAGGCCGGCGGCGGCGCGCUCCUCCUCCAGCAGCGUGGGGUCCAGCAGCCAGGUGGGCGCGGGCGCCGGCGCGCGGCUCAAGCCGCAGCCCACCACCAGGUCGUACAUCUCGACGCCCGCGUCGGCCAGGGCGAGCGCGGCGGCCGUGAGCGCGGCGGCCAGCGCCGAGCCGCCGUCCUCCAGCAGCAGCGCCGACACCUCGAGCUGCGCGCGCGGGUAGCGACCGAGGCGCACGGCCGGCUCGAGCGCCUCCUGCAGCGCCAGCGCCAGCU
ensembl:lncRNA